rnacentral:tRNA from 1 species
GCCUGGGUGGCUCAGUCAGUUGAGCGUCUGACUUUGGCUCAGGUCAUGUCUCGCGGUCUGUGAGUUCGAGCCCCGCGUUGGGCU